rnacentral:misc_RNA from 1 species
GGAUGAAGAACGUAGCGAAAUGCGAUAAGUAGUGUGAAUUGCAGAAUUCAGUGAAUCAUCGAAUCUUUGAACGCACAUUGCGCCCCUUGGUAUUCCAUGGGGCAUGCCUGUUCGAGCGUCAUUUGUACCUUCAAGCUUUGCUUGGUGUUGGGUGUUUGUCCUGAGGGACUCGCCUUAAAGUAAUUGGCAGCCAGUGUUUGGUUUUGAAGCGCAGCACAAGUCGCGAUUCAAGGCUAUACACCAGCCUCCACAAGCCUUUUUCACUUUUGACCUCGGAUCAGGUAGGGAUACCCGCUGAACUUAAGCAUAUCAAUAAGCGGAGGA